GCACAGCCGCUUGAUAGCUCAUUUGUGUGGGGUAGCGCUUUUCGAUACAACACCGCCUUCAAAAUAAAAAAAGGUAGUUUCCACAAUCUCGAUUGAUUUAUUCGUCAUCUGUUGGGAGGAUAGCACGACAAAAGUGAAGCAGAGGACCAAAACUAAUGAAAAUAUAAAAUGAAAUAUCUCAUUCUCGCUUUAAGAAGAGUUGUAUUUAUCUGCUGUCUUGGGGCUCCUGUCAGUCAAUUAACUCACGGGGGCACUCUAUAAAAAGGAGUAGUGGCAACCUUCCGCCCUUUCUCUUGCUCUGGGCUUUCCCUUCACUUCCGGGUUGCUUAGCCCCUCUCCACCGGUGCAGGUAAGUUAUCAGUGGCUGUUAAAAAUGCUAAAUAGUCAGUUAUCGUGCUGAUUUGUCUGUGAUUUUACUUGUUUAGAUGCAGUGUUAAUGGUUGCCAACUCUCACGACGACGUGAGCCUGUUCGGUAUGUAUACCUUCUGACUAUAUGACACAUAGACUGUAUAUAGAACAUACGUAUAUUACAUAGCAUACAUAUAGCACAUACAGUCUAUGAUAUAACAAGCCUGUACCUCUUUAAUUUGUGUUUGUACUUUAUUUAUUUUGGUUUGAAUUCAUGGGGAACAUCUAUUGGUUAAGUUUUGUUUCCAUAAAUUGCCAUUGAAUCUUAAUUUCUUUAGUAUUUAGUCAAUUAUUUGUUUUUGCUUAAAAUCCUUAUUUGCUCAGUUAGUUCAGAACAUCUUUUUUUCUAAAUUAUGAGUUCAGGGUCAUUCUGUUUUGUUGUUUAGGUUUGAUUGUUUUGACAGCAUAUGUCCCAGUUGGUUAAAGUUAUUUGGUUAUUGUCAUUUUGUUGUUUUAGUUAUAGGCUAACUUUAUUUUUGGUUUGUUAUUUUUGUUUUGAGCCUAAUAAUCCCCCUUUUUUUUGUGUCCUUUUUUCAGUUGCUGAGAGCCAACGGUGGUGGUCCCUGAUGUCCUGGUGGUGGUUUUCCCCUUUUAUCUUGUGCUGUGUAUCCCUGGUCUUUAGUUGUUGCACUGUGUGAAUUUUGGUGUGAUUGUUACAUUAUUUGGUGUCCUCCUUCCCUGGGAUCCCCCUCACUUUUCCUUUUGACUCAAAGCACCGUGGUAAGACUUGGCUCCUGAAAAAGGUGUGGGUGUGAGAUUUUUUAAAUAGGUUGUUUUUUUAAAUAAAUGAUUUGUCUUUUAUUUUUAAAACUUGAAACCACAUCUCCUGCUUCUUUCAAAGGUAGAACAAACCUGAGUGCUUUAAAAUCUCUAAUUCCUUGUGUGAAAUUCCCUAGGUGGCGUUGUUGGCUUCAAAAUCAACUCAAACAAUUUAUAUCUUACACCAAACUGAAAAUCUUUUCUAUCUCACCCCUUGAGUUACCACAUAAAGAUAUUAAGUAAAAACCUGUGUGCCCUCUCAGAUGUUUUCACAUUAUUCAAGUGAAUGUGUCACAGCUGCUGAAAAAGCCGUUUAUAAAAAAAAAAGUGUGUUGUACAGUACCUUUUUUAUGAAAGCAGCUGGUGUGUUGAUAUAGCCUACUUUUGUCAACUACAUUUUCAUGAAAUGAAGACUUUAAAAAUCUUAACUCUGUUUUAAGAAGUCACAACACUCUCUAAAAGAGGUUAAUUUGUCCUGUAAAGUCUAGUUGUUGUGGUCACAGAUUGAAAGCUGGUCUUUAUAUGGUCUCGAUGGAUUUAAAAAGAAGUUAACUGCUUUUUUAGCACAGAGUAAAAGUUUAACAAAAUCCCAAACUUGGUUAUUUUGAGUAUGCAGCUUGAACAGCCGAAAUACUGGGGGCCCUGUAGGCCAAAUGCACAGACCUUUUACUGUGUGCCAAAAGCGUAAUCCAUAACUUAAAUAUCACAUGAAACCCCAAAUUAACUGAUAAAACACAAAAAAUAAGUAUCUCAUGAGUCAAACACCAAAAACACUAUUCUUACAUGGCAAAAAAGCAGAAACGGGUGGCCAUGUGGAGACAUCUCCCUGACUAUACAAUGACUACAUUACUCUAACUCGUCAGUGUUUGAAGAUUUUUCCACUCAAAUGGGAAAAUUCCACAAGGUUCAGUUCUAGGCCCUACUUUUCAAACAAUUAACCCGACACUUUGCUUUACAAGAGUUAAUUGUCAAAUGUACUAGAUAAGUGUCCAAUUUUUUUUUUUUUUUUCAAAUCUCUGUCAUAUGUUUUAUCUAAUAAAAAAUUCUGAUCAGCUAUUGAAUUCUAUUCAAA